UUCAUUUGGGAUAUUUUGUUUUAAUUCAAAAGAGUUUUACCAGUCUUAAUCAUAAUGUACAUAAACUUGUAUUCUACAUAAAAUAUAACAACUUCACAAUCAUAAUAACCACACAACCACUAUUACACAGUGCCUCUAAGCCACAGCAUCUCAUGGUUGUAAAUGGGAGUCUCGACAGAUCUAUGGACAAAAAGGAGGCACGUUUGGUUGAGAAGCCAGGUCAGAGAUUGGUUGGGAAGCAUGAGGCUGUGCUGGAGCCAGGGUCUGAGGCAGAGCUGGGGCCAGAGGCAUCAGCCUCAGCUCAGGUCUUCUCUGGUCAGCAACUGAGAUCGAGCUCCUUCUAGGUCUAAAGGUCUCAGGAAUGUUACAGCAGCUUCUACUCUCCUGGUCAUUAGCUGCAUUUUCACCGAUCCAGGAGCCCUCGUUCCCUCAUGUGCUGAAGGUCCACAGCAGGUCAGUGUUGGUGCCGGCGGGUAGAGGAGGUCUGUACCCUCACAGCCAGAGCAGAAGGGAGACUUGUAAAUAGGUGAAAUUCACAGCCAUGGGAUGCGUGCACCACAGAGGUGAGUGCAAGUAGGAGGGGACUUAUGUGCAAUAAGUCACAUCUGAGUCACAUCUGAGUCACUCUGAAGUAUGAACAGGACUUCGCCACGUCAACCAAGGCAGAGCUGGAAAUUCCAGGCAAACAGAAGAGCAGAGAUGAAGAUCCAGAGACGGAAAAUACUCUUGAAGCCACACUGAGAAGUUUAUGAACAGAGGCGAGGCUGAGAGGCCGCAGAUCAGGAAAGGAAACUAGCAGAGGGCUGCAAGCAGAGACAGGAAGUCAAAUUUGAGCUUUAGAGAGAUUUUCUGACGGUAGUGGAAGAGAAUAGGUGGGGAGAGUAGUUAAUGAUCUCUUGUCCGGGUGAGAAGUGAUAAGACCUUGGAUUCAACCGCUUUGAAAGAAAUCAUCUGUGAAACCAUCUGGGCCUGGCGCUCUUCUAAGCGGUAACAAUGUAGAAUUGACCUCAGUUGCAUAUAACAGAAGACACCCUAACACCCUGUGACUUAAAUAUCAUGGAAGCGUUUUCGUCUCCCCCAUAAAGAAGUCUGGAACUAGGUAACCCAGGCCUGAUAUUUUGGCUUUGAGGUCCCCGGGUUCGGAACCGAGGCUCCUCCCAGCUUUCUGUUUUACCAUCCAGCAUGUAGUUUCUAU